AUUAGGGUCCUUUUGGAUGCCUCCCAAACGAGCAAAAAUAACUCUCUUCCUGUGGGUCUAGUUUCUGAGGUAGCAUGCUCCAGAUGCUUCGAUCGUUUUGGUUGGGACAGACAAAGGGGCAACGACUUGCUCUGGACAUUGGGGCAAUUGCAUCCCUUUGGUAUCUAUACUGCCACAAGACAAUUUGGAGAAAGUAAUUUGGUUGGGUGUUUACUUUGGUAUAUUUUGUUGAGUGGACCUUUCUGGGUUGCGGACUCAACAAGCUGCAAUUGGUGUAAUGCUUGCAUGCUACUUUGUAUGUAGGUUGAAUAUGAUCAUGGAA